AGGUUAAAUUAACGUGAAGUGAUGGUUGUCAUCCUGGUUUGCAGCAGAAUGCGAGCAGAUGGAUAGCGCUCGGUUGAUUCAUGAACGUGGUACCUUCAGGCGUUUGGAAAUAGCUCCCAAGGAUGAACCAGACUACUGGAGGUCUCCAAUUUUUUUCAAAGGUCUUGGCUGAUUUCUUUAGAUUUUCCCAUCAUGUCAAGCAAAGAGGCCCUGAGUUUAAAGGUGAUCCUGCUUGUGCUUCAAGGGACAUUAUCCAGCAAGCUGGGACCUGUACCAUCAGUGACAAAGAGGAAAAGGAAGGCACCUGACACACACACAGCACCAUGGCAGCAAUUGCGGACACAGGAUGAACAAUUUGAGGAGUGUGUGAAUUUGGAGACUGAUCGCCUCUUGAGAGAGAAUAAGCAGUUAGAUAAAAUGGUGGCAUGGACAGCAAAUGAGAAGAACAGCGAAAGGCAGGUUCAGCAAAUGGAUGAACUCCUCAGCGAGAAUAAGAGCUUUGCUACUGUGUUUCAGCAGCUGUUGUAAAGGACGUCACGCCGCUUGCUUACCGAGUGCCACUUCCUCUUCCUUGCUAGCACACUUGACUGCUCUCCGGAAGCUUCUUACCAGUCAGCGCCACGCGAAAGCUAGCUAUUCGUUGGUGCAAGUGGAGACACUUCAGGCUGAGGAGUAAGUUUCACACCUCCGCAUGUGCUACAGUACAUUCACCCCUCAAACUUACUCAACAGCGACCCCAGCGUUGUAGAUCCGAGUUACUCGGCACCCCUGUAAAGGACGUCAUACUGCUUGCUUAGCGAGUAGCACUUCCUCCCGUUUCGGCCCAUACAUGGCGCAAAUGCGGAACCUCUGCCUUGCUAGCAUACGUGACCGCCCUCCUGAAGCGUCUUACCAGUCGGCACGAUGCGAAAAGCUAGCGAUUCGCUUGCGCAAGUGGGGACACUUCAGGCUGAGGAGUAAGCAUCACACAUCCCCAUGUGCUACAUUGGCAAACACAUUUGAAUGUGUGGCAGGAGCCCUUGUCCCACCUCAUGAAAGCUGUCCCCCAACAACACAAAGCAGGCCCAAAACACAAAGUGGUAUCCCCUUCACAACUCUAUUUGGAACUUCAGUGUACACAGCCUCAGAUGUGACUCACAUAGAAUGCCUUCAAAAAGUAUUCAUAACCCUUGACUUAUUCCACAUUUCAUUGUGUUACAGCCGGAAUUCAAAAUUGAUCAAAUAUUGAUUUUUUUCACCCAUCUAUACACAAUAACCCAUAAUGACAUGAAAACAUGUUUUCAGACAUUUUGCAAAUGUAUUGAAAAUAGAAUCCAGAAAUAACUCAUUUACAUAAAUAUUCACACCCCUGAGUCAAAACUUUGUAGAAGAACCUUUGGCAGUGAUUACAGCAGUCUUUCUGGGUAAGUCUCUAAGAACAUUCCGCACUUGGAUUGUGUAACAUUUGUCCGUUAUUCUUUAUAAAAUUAUUCAGACAACCAUUUUCAGUUCAAGUGGAUUUAAGUCAAAAGUGUAACUCAGACCCCCGGGAACUUUCACUAUAUUUUUGGUAAGCACCUCCAAUGUAUAUUUAAUGAUUUACAAGCAUACCCAUAAUAUGAUGCAGCCACCACUAUGCUUGAAAAUAUGGAGAGUGGUACUCACUAAUGUGUUGUAUUUGCGCCAAACAUAACAAUUCUUUUUAAGGAUAAAAAGUGAAUUUAUUUUCCACCAAAAAAAGAACAUGCGGUAUUGUGUGUUUAAAUUCAGGUUGUAACAUAACAAAAUGUGGAAAAAGUCAAGGGGUGUGAAUACUUUCUCAAGGCACCAUAUACAUAAUUGACAACGAGCCAUCAACAUCCACCACAACCACAUAUCGUCAUCUGUAGCCAUCCGUUGCAGAAAUGUUGUCUGAUUUGAUCAAAUACAUCUAAAUACAUCAUUCUAAUUAGUUUCAUUUUGGUUUUUAGACAGUAAAUAAUAUAUGUUAUUUAUGUGAUCAGAUUUAACAUACAUCAAUUAAUGCCAAUGUUUAUUAUAUACAGUAAUAAUAAUAUGUUUGUUACAUAAUAAUAGCAUGUUAUGUUAACAAUGUUGCAGCCAAUGAUUGCCAUCUUGAAUAGAUAAGACCCCUGUAGCCUAGUUUAUGAACAUUGAUUACUUAAAUACGUUGUUUUUCUAACACAAAAAAACAAGACCAAGCCAAAUAAAUAUUUAGUUCAUUUAUUUCAAUUGAUUGUUUGCACAGCCUACACAUAUUCUAUGCUUGAUUGUUAAAAUACGGGUUCAUCGUAAUGUACAAUGUGAAAUUCCAUUUGACAGUUUUGCUUGUCAUAACAAUGAACUUCAGCAACUGAUGAUUCCAUGCUUUCCAUGUUCUUUGAAGCCUGGCAAAGUAUGAGGCGAGUGCAUCUCUGAUGUCACUGCUGCUGUGGCACCUGGCCCUCCCUUCCAGUUGCAUUGCUGAGAAUUAUUUGUUGUUAUACUUCAUCCUACUCAAAAGUCUCAUUAUGAUUUUUUUUUAAAUGAUGCAGCACACAGCAUGGUGUAAUCAGUUUGUUUAUUAUGUCAAUGUGAGUCAUUGCGUUUAAGCAAACACCUCCAUCUUUCCUUCAGUUGACCAAAAACCCUCUCUACAGUAAUGUGAGAAGUACUGGGCCUCAUUAACGUUGGUCUGCACAGGUGUGAUUCCUCCUCUCUCUGAGUAGGGCUUCAUCAGCGACCGAAGAAGUUGGUAGGCAGAUUCUUCUAAUUAUACAUUUGGUGCAUUCACUCCAUGAAAGGUCUCAAUCCAUCUUGGGAGUAGUCUGCCCUCCUGACUCUUGGUAAAUAGUACUGAAUUGAUCAGGACAUGGGCAUCACGAACUGUACCAGCCCAACCAAUGUGGAUGUCCCAAAACUUACAUUUGUGAUCUAUAUCCCCUUGUAGGAUCACAGAGUAAAACCUCUUUCUAUUAUAAUAGUCCCCCUUGUCUUGUGGUGCUAAGAUGGCUAUAUGAGUGCCAUCGAUUGCUCCACAGCAUUGGGGGAAUCCUGGUUGACGGUCAUGGAAUCCGUUUACUAUGUCUCUGAACUCAGCCUCCGUUGGUUCUCUUGAUGUAAACGUUUAACAUUUUCUCCCGGGUGAGACCAGCAGUUUGAUUAGUGACUGUACAUGCAGUUGACAAACCUACACCAAACAAUAACGAGAUGGUUUCAAUCAAUCAAAUUUAUUUAUGAAGCCCUUUUUACAUCAGACGAUGUCACAAAGUGCUGUACAGAAACCCAGCCUAAAACCCCAAAGAGCAAGCAAUGCAGGUAUAGAAGCACGGUGACUAGGAAAAACUCCCUAGAAAGGCAGGAACCUAGGAAGAAACAUAGAGAGGAACCAGGCUCUGAGGGGUGGCCAGUCCUCUUCUGGCUGUGCUGGGUGGAGAUUAUAACAGUAUAUGGCCAAGAUGUUCAAACGUUCAUAGAUGAUUAGCAGGGUCAAAUAAUAAUAAUCACAGUAGUUGUAGAGGGUGCAACAGGUCAGCACCUGAGGAGUAAAUGUCAGUUGGCUUUUCAUAGCCGAUCAUUCAGAGUUAAAGACAGCAGGUGCGGUGGAGAGAGAGAGUUGAUACUCUAUAUUAGUGGCAAGUCUCCACAGAUAAAUGGCAACACGCUGCUCCACAGACAGUGCUUUCCUGUAAUGACACUGUUGCUGGACAAGAGAAGGACGAAGAAUAUCACAUAGACUGAGGAAUGUUGUCUUCCUCAUCCUAAAGUUCGCCCUCCACUCUCUGUCAGUCCAGUUUUCAAAUGCAGUCAGCCACCACUGUGCCUCCCUUGGAACAGCCCAUAUACUCAUGGUAAAAGAGAAAUACAUGGCUGAGGCUUACUACUUCAAAUUGUAAACCUGAAUGGUAAGCUACAAUAUAGCAAUUCUAGACAAAAUAAUAUGUAUAACAAAUAAUAAUGAUAGAUCUGAUAGUGCAUGCAUGUCAAUAUCACUUAUUUGAAAACAGAACAUAAAACAAAUUAAAUGAUAUAUGCAUUCCAUCAUGUCAUUUUGGCUAGUGUUCUUCAAUGAUAUUAGAUGGCUGGUGCCAUCUAACGGACAACAUUGUAACUGAAUUUGUGGGUCAAUUUUCGGGUCAUGGCUAGAAGGAAUCCAGCUUUUAUCAGAAUUGACUUUUCGUAGCAGGUUUUGGAGAAUUUACGCGGCAGGUUGGGAGAAUUAGGUUAAGUUUAGGAAAAGGUUUAGGUUUAGCUCAAAUGUAUAUAAAAACAAUGGACAAAAGCUGAAUCCAAUCUAGACAUGACACAAUUUGUGACUGUUAUUAUAGGCUACAGACAAGUUGCGCAGAAAUAUCCAGGCAUCUUUUUACUCACCAUGUUGCAUGUUAUUGGAUGAGUACAGUAUGCUGAGAAACAUUACAUUUCAUUAACUCUUGAUUCAUCAUUAAAAACGGUUGGCCUUGGCGUUGUUGUGUGAGCCUCCUGUGUCGGUUUAGGUGGAUAGUUUGCUAUUGUACUGCUGCUUUUACAUAGUUCAAUAAAUGCAUAAUGGUCCCGACAUUUUGGCAACACUUUUUAACUUGGUUAAAGGAAAUCAUAAGAGGAAAUUGACAUUUUUGUAAAUUCAUUCAGGUUAUUGACUAUGGCGAUAUCGUCUAUAUGAAUGCAGUUGCCACUGUACUGAAACCAUUUGACACAGUUUAUCAUAGCGCAUUGUGCUUUAUUACGGGUGAUAGGUUCAGUACACAUCAUUGCGUUUUGUAUCAAUAAGUAGGCUGGCCCUCCUUGAAGUCUCAUAGAUCGAUACAUUGCACUCUUUUUGUCUAAAAAGCCCUCUUGCAUAAACUUCUGCCAAACCUUACCUCAUUGUUGACCUUCACACUUACAGUAUACGUUACCAGACCCGGACUCAAGGAUGGCAAUAUCCACCGAGUUAGGUAAAUCUUCUUUUAGUUUUUUUGUGCCUCAUGUGGAAUGAUCUUCAAAAGUCCUUAAAGUUGGUGGACUUGGUGUCUCUAUGGCAAUUCAGGCGGAUGUUAGCUAUAAUAAACCGUGUCAAAUGGUUUCAGUACAGUGGCAACUGCUUUCUUUUUAACUGAAGAAUGUGUUUGUUUCAUAUGAUUGUGUUUUGCUUUUCAUGUUUUGUGUUUGCUUUUCAUGUAUUGUGUAAUUGAUGUGUAUAUAGAUAUGUAUAGUGUAAUUGUUGUUUAUUGAUGUGUUGGAUAGGUCAUCAUUGUAAAUAAGAAUGUAUUCUUAAUUGACUUACCUGUAAAAUAAAGGUAAAAAAAUCAAAUAAAAAAAUAACCAUCUCUACA